rnacentral:misc_RNA from 1 species
AGUGGAUGAAGGAGAAACAAGUGCAUAUGAUCGUUCAGUUGCCUUAGAAGGUAACAAAUCAUCAAGAUUUCCCCAGAAGGCGCGGAAGAUCCUCCUGAAGGGUUACAAUGGCAGACCGUAUGACGUUGGUGCUGGUAUACAAUUUACACAGUGCAUGGAAAAUAGAGUUGGCAGUCAUCAAUCUGUUGUGCUGGGGAAACGGCCAGCUAGUACGCUUAAUGUGUCUAUUCCAACCAAGCGUGUGCGUACUGCUUCUAGGCAGAGGGUUGUUAGUCCCUUCGG